rfam:Triticum aestivum genome assembly, contig: Triticum_aestivum_CS42_TGACv1_scaffold_133185_2BL
GUUGUACUCCCUCCGUCCGGAAAUACUUGUCAUGAAAAUGGAUAAAGAGGGGUGUAUCUAGAACUAAAAUACAUCUAGAUACAUCAUCUUUUAUUCAGCUUGAUGACAAGUAUUUCCGGACGGAGGGAGUAUUUU